UGUUACCGGUAUGGCAGGGCAUGCUUACCCUUUCGCGAACACCUGGUGUCAUCAUUGAUUUUUAGUCAUCCAUUCAUAUAAUUUUCACCACUAGUUUGCCAUUUACGCUCAAUGGAAUGUGUUUGGGCGGAUAAUUGAGACUGAUUGUUCUCUGGCGUUGACGUUAUAUAUUUACGCGUUUGUCCAACUAUUUGCGCUUAUGAAAUCAUGCAUCAUGUGAUAAUAUUAAUAUAAAGUGAUUACAGCAGCAGAUGUGAGGAAUAUCUGUCUGAACAACUAUGUACACAAGCUUGGUAUGUUGUCACUAUUGCAGGAAUUGAUACGCACAUUUGAAAGUUAGUUUGACGACAUCCUUUUCUUAGAAUUAGAGUGGCAGUGAGAGAAUAUAAAGCCAACUGUUGUAGUGGAUCCGCGAAAUAGUGACAUUUUUUAAACACUUCCAGAGUUUGAAAACGCAACAGUUAGACACCGACGUAGGUCCAACAUGAUUCUAUUGGUGCAUGAUAAUAGAUAGUAUUUAGUGUAAGGAGGUUAGAUGUAGCGUCGUCACCUGUCUUUGUCGUGGUUGUUAAGGGUUGAUAGGAGUUAUGUACCAUGCCUGUACUCUGAAAGCUUUCUGCACUCCAAAUACAUUGCAAACAGGUUGGAAAGAGAUGUAAAAAUGUGUCCUAACCGCUUCAAUGACGAGAAUGCUGAUGAGCGACGCCAACAUCAGAUACAGACGGAUUGGGAAACGGCCAAGAACGGAACGGUGUGGUUGCUCAGCAGUAACAGGUGACGCCGACAAUGGAGCUACGUCACGGCCUAUUGUGUCCCCAAAGCUGUUGACAUCACAGAACGAUUACGUCAACAAUCACUUGACGUCAUCAUCAAAUCUGGCUGUCAGCACGGAACACGGCAGGCGGGCUUGUUGCUGCCGUCAGACACGCCUGGUUUACACAGGCCAAUACUGACGAGAUAUGGACUCGAGUUCGACUCAGGUUGGAAAGAGAUGUAAAAAUGUGUCCUAACCGCUUCAAUGACGAGAAUGCUGAUGAGCGACGCCAACAUCAGAUACAGCCGGAUUGGGAAACGGCCAAGAACGGAACGGUGUGGUUGCUCAGCAGUAACAGGUGACGCCGACAAUGGAGCUACGUCACGGCCUAUUGUGUCCCCAAAGCUGUUGACAUCACAGAACGAUUACGUCAACAAUCACUUGACGUCAUCAUCAAAUCUGGCUGUCAGCACGGAACACGGCAGGCAGGCUUGUUGUUGCCGUCAGACACGCCUUGGUUUACACAGGCCAAUACUGACGAGAUAUGGACUCGAGUUCGACUCAGGUAAACCAGACCCUCUAUUCCCUGCUUGAAAUACAGUCUAGAGUCGCAUCUGAACAAGACAUACACGCUAUAAACUGGCAUGAGCGUGUAUCCAGGGCUUGGUCAUGCGUCUGUCGGUGGUGAAUCGCGCUUGUUGCGCAUUUGUCCUAUUGUGAAAACAUGUUGACAAAUUCGGAGUGGAUAUCUGUUUAUAAGCACAGUCUGAAACAUUGUUGUUACCGGUAGGGCAGGGCAUGCUUACCCUUUCGCGAACACCUGGUGUCAUCAUUGAUUUGUAGUCAUCCAUUCAUAUAAUUUUCACCACUAGUUUGCCAUUUACGCUCAAUGGAAUGUGUUUCGGCGGAUAAUUGAGACUGAUUGUUCUCUGGCGUUGACGUUAUAUAUUUACACGUUUGUCCAACUAUUUGCGCUUAUGAAAUCAUGCAUCAUGUGAUAAUAUUAAUAUAAAGUGAUUACAGCAG